GACGUAGGGCGCGAGCGUUGUUCGGAUUCACUGGGCGUAAAGGGUGCGUAGGCGGUUGGGUAAGUCUGAUGUGAAAUCUCACAGCUUAACUGUGAAACUGCAUUGGAUACUAUCCGGCUAGAGGAAUGGAGGGGAGACUGGAAUACUUGGUGUAGCAGUGAAAUGCGUAGAUAUCAAGUGGAACACCAGUGGCGAAGGCGAGUCUCUGGACAUUUCCUGACGCUGAGGCACGAAAGCCAGGGGAGCAAACGGG
rnacentral:rRNA from 1 species